rnacentral:tRNA from 1 species
AGUUCUAUACUUUAAUUAAAAAAUUUGACCUGCAAUCAACUAUUGAGUUAUCAAACUCUAGAGCUA